rnacentral:rRNA from 1 species
AAUCAACGCUGGCGGCGUGCCUAACACAUGCAAGUCGAGCGAGAAAGUGUAGCAAUACAUGAGUACAGCGGCGCACGGGUGAGUAACACGUGGGUAAUCUGCCCUUGAGUGGGGAAUAACACCGGGAAACCGGUGCUAAUACCGCAUACGAUCACGAUGUCUGCGGAUGUUGUGAUGAAAGGAGCAAUUCGCUCUUGGAGGAGCCCGCGGCUGAUUAGCUAGUUGGUAAGGUAACGGCUUACCAAGGCAACGAUCAGUAGCCGGUCUGAGAGGACGGUCGGCCACACUGGAACUGAGACACGGUCCAGACUCCUACGGGAGGCAGCAGUGGGGAAUUUUUCGCAAUGGGGGCAACCCUGACGAAGCAACGCCGCGUGGGUGAUGAAGUCUCUUGGGACGUAAAACCCUUUCGACGGGGAAGAAACCGCAAGGUUGACGGUACCCGUAGAAGAAGCCCCGGCUAACUCCGUGCCAGCCGCCGCGGUAAUAC